ensembl:lncRNA
CAGAAGUCAGCUGUAACAAACUAAUAGCGUUGGUUGCCAACUGCCGUUAAACCCCACAGAAGAAGAAGUCAGCUGUUGUUUUCCAGCGCGGAGUAUGCCGUUUAUAUUGUUGAGCGGAAUUAAACCCAGCUGUGUUUGGUAAACUUUUUGGGCCUUCAAAUCUUGGGCGUCAUCUGAAUCGUAUAAAGGGGAUCACUGCCCACCUUUUUCCCCAGAGCUGCAAGAAAGGUAGCUGAUGAAACAGACACCAUCGAAGAGGAAAACCUUCUUAUCCUACAUAGCCUGGCUGCAGCUGACUGGUGCAAUAAGGCAACAUUCAAUGGAGGACUGAAACUCUGCUGUCCUUUCGAUGGACAGAGAAGAAAAAAAAGAAGCCAUCCAGGAGAUGGACACCUGGGAUGGGGAACUGGAUGAGGAUUCUCCAGCAGAACUUUUUACAUAAAAAAAAAAAAAAAAGGACUAUGACAACUUCUGGGAAGAAUUUGUUGAUAAAAACAAUUACAUAAAUCUUCCUCAAAUCUUCCUCAUAAAUCUUCCUCAAAUCUUCCUCAAGA